ACAACAACCAGCACGGAGUGGCAGAGAGGAGUGAAAACGAAAGAGCCGAAAUAUACACAGAGAGAGAGGGAUUAAACAGAAAUAUUAUAACAUAAAGAGAGUGAGAGAAACAGAAUGAGAGAGUAUGUGUCAGUUGUUUGACAGAAGCAGGCAGUUCGACAUGAGUGUUAGAAUGAGAUAUACAAAGAGUGGGAGCACCGGGUCUCUUCCAAUUUACUGAAAUUUCUGUUUACAAAGUGAUUCCUUGCUUUAUGUUCUCUUCUUCUUAGCUCACUCUGAUCAGAGAUCAUGAGUGGUUUUCAGUUGGACACUCUUCUAAUUAGUUAACAAUUUAUUUAGUUUUUAUUUAAAUUUAUAUAUAAAUAUAUUAUAUAUUCUGUAAAUAUAUAUACAUGUACAUCUGACAACACCAGUAAUAAGGUGUUCACUGGUGAAAUCGUCUUUUUCCUGCUUUAAAAUUAUUAUUGUUAUUUUUUACUUUCCACACACGUACCUUUGUCAUGGAAUUUAAACAAGAACCAGUUGAGAAUUAUUAUACCAUUGGUGAAAAUUUAGGAAGUGGCCAGUUUGCUGUGGUGAAGAAGUGCAAACAGAGAGAAACUGGUAAAGAAUAUGCUGCCAAGUACAUUCGGAAACGUCGUGCGGGAGGUAGGAGAGGUGCCAGUCUCGAAGACAUCAGGAAAGAAGUUGAAAUUCUCUGUGAACUUGACCAUCCAAACAUUGUUCAGUUAUACGAGUGCUUUGAGACAAAGACCGAAGUCAUCCUCAUUCUUGAACUGGUGCCAGGUGGAGAACUCUUUGACUAUCUGUCUGAAAGAGAUAAACUCUGUGAAGCUGAGGCAUCAGCAUUUAUUAAACAAAUAUUGGAUGGUUUAAGACAUUUACAUGAUCGCCAAAUUGCUCACUUGGACCUUAAGCCAGAAAAUAUCCUCAUGGUAAACCAGACAAGUCAGAGAAUCAAGUUGAUAGACUUUGGAUUGUCACGGAAAUUAAAACCUGGCAUUGAUAGUCGUGCCAUGAUGGGAACUGCUGAAUUUGUUGCUCCUGAAGUUGUCAGCUAUGAACCUCUCACACUUGCUACAGACAUGUGGAGUGUUGGUGUGAUAACCUAUAUUUUAUUAAGUGGAACAUCGCCAUUCCUUGGCGACUCACCUCAAGAAACCUACCAGAACAUCACGUCAGUGGACUAUGAUUAUGAGGAUUAUUUUGAGACCACAAGUAAACUGGCCAAGGAUUUUAUUGAUAAACUCUUAGUGAAAAAUCCCAGGAAACGAGCCAGUGCUACAGACUGUAUGAGUCAUCCAUGGAUACAGCCUGUUGCCAAACAAGAGGAAGAUGUACGCAAGAGUUGUGUGAUCAACACAGGAAACUUGAAAUCUUUUAUUACAAGAAGACGGUGGAAACAAGCCUUCAAGAUCAUACUGCUGUGUAACCGAUUGUUAAAGUCCACCGUCUGUGCUCACCCCAAAGGAGGAGAACCUACUGAAAAACAGGACAAAGCCGAGAAUGUGGUCAUGGCAGCGUUAUUCCAGAGUGCCGAGGAAGGUAACUUGGCUGGUUUAAAGGAAUUACUUAGCAUGGCAAACAAUGUAAAUGUCAACACAGCAAACAGGCAUGGUGAGACAGCCAUCCACAAUGCUGCUAGUGGAGGACAUGUUGAUGUGAUCAAAUAUCUUCAUUCCAAAGGAGCCAAUAUCGAUGUUCUUGACAAGCACAAUGAUAGUGCAAUAUUUUGGGCUGUUCGUCAUGGGCAUUUAGAUGUGGUUCAUUACCUUAAAGAAGAAGGUGUGCCCCUUAACAUACAAAACAAGGCUGGUGAAUCAGCACUGCAUGUAUCUGCUCGCUAUGGUCACAACCAAAUCACAGAAUACCUAUGUAAUUCUGGCACAGACAUCAACUUAAGAGACAAUCAUGAAGAAACUGCCCUCCACCACGCUGCAUGGCAUGGAUUCUUACCAAUAACAUAUUCCCUGUGCACAGCUGGAGCACAACUCAACAUCCAGAACAAGGAUGGAGAAACGGCCCUGCACUGUGCUGCUGCUCGGGGUCACACUGAAUGUGUCAAAGUGUUGCUACAGCAUGAUGCUCAAACUAGUUUAGUUGACAAAAAUGGAAGCACUCCACUCCACCUUGCCUGUAAUCGGCACCAUGUCCAAAUUGCUCUACUUUUGAUACAUAAGGGCUGUGAUCUUGAUACUACAGAUUUAGAAACUGGAGAAAAUGCUUUACAUAUUGCUGCAAGAAAUGGCCUAGUUCCUGUUGUACAGGCAAUGUGUGCCUAUGGUUGUGUUGUAGAUAUGACUAACAGGGCAGGAGCAACGGCUUUACACCUGGCCAGUAAGGCUGGUCAUAUUGAAAUUGUCCGGUGUCUUUUACUAUCAGAAGCAAAUGCUGAUGCCAAGAAUAAGGAUGGUGUUACUGCUGAAAUCAUGGCACUAGCUCAGGGUUAUACAGACAUUGCUGAACUGCUGAAUAAGGUCCAUGGGGAUCGAGUUACUGCUUUCAUCCAACAAUUAAAUCCACAGAAUCAAAACCUGUCUCGAAUCAAACUUAAGAUUCUCGGUUCAACUGCUGUUGGAAAAUCUACCCUUAUAGAAUCUCUCAAAUGUGGCACCCUCUACAGUUUCUUUCGAGGGCGCCUCUUUAGUACUGGCUCUUUAUCUGCCAGAGAGAAAAACCGGUCUCGUAUGCUACGUCAAUACAGCUUACCAACACCACUUUGUUACUCAAUUGGUAACCCUACAUAUACCAAAGGAAUAGAUGUCCAACAAGUAAAUGUAAAAGGAAUUGGUGAUGUGAGUAUCUGGGACUUCUCUGGCUACCAACCUUAUUAUAUGCUCUACGACCAUUUUUUACAUGACCAAAAUUGUGUCACCAUUAUUGGAUUUAGUCUAACGGAUUCUUUUGACGAGCAAAUUGCCCAAGUGAUGUUCUGGUUGAAUUUUGUCAAGUCCAGGUCUGGUCUGCAACCUCCUCUGGGUCAAUGUGGAAAACCUUUAAAUGCACUUGGGGUCAUCCUUGUUGCAACUCAUGCGGAUCAAGCUACCAGCUGCAGCCGUAACAAUCGUGGUGAAUAUGUCUGUAAAGAGACACAAAUGAUUCUUACAAAGGCACAGAAGGAGUUUGGCAAUGACAUGGAAAUUGUGGAUCGAGUAUUUGUUAUAGACACCCAGGUGGCUGGUUCAUCUGAUAUGAAAGCUCUCAAAAGACAAAUUGCUGAAAUGAAGGGACAAAUUGUAAAGUCAUUACCACAAACAUCUGGCUUUUUGGAACUCAUGGUCUCACAGCUUCCGUACUGGCGUCGAGCCUCAUCAUCAUAUCCAGUAUUAGAUUGGAAGAGUUUCUCAGAGCAUGUUCGCACAAAGAUUAACCCCUUAGCAGGUGAAAUCGAUCUAAAAUCCCUUGUGCACCAAUUGCAGUUAAUUGGUGAGGUGAUUUACCUUGAAAAUGAAACUGGGCCUGACCUUGUGGUGCUCCAUCCCAACUGGUUGUGUACGGAUGUCAUUGGAAACCUCAUUUCUCAUGACAAGAUCCUCCAGACUCGGAUUACAGGUUGUUUUAGUAUUGAUGAAUUUCAACUAAUGUACCCCGAAACUGAUGCUCUAGACUUGCUUAAGGUUCUCGAAUGUCUUGAAGUCUGUACACAAUGUGACAAUGACGGUGAUGUUGAAUAUGAAUUUCCUUGUUUGAAUUUCGUUGAAACCCUGAACGGUCUCUGGCAGAAGGACUCUCAACACUAUGCAGAUGCUAUCUACGGCGGGAUGAGGAUAAUAUCUGUGUCAGAUUCUGGUAAUCAGUUCAAAUACCUCUUUCCAAGAGUUCAGGUACAGCUGAGAAGGACUUUGGUGCUGGAGAAUGAUGAUCCUUCACUUGAUUUGUACCAGUGGCACCAUGGUUCCAAAUACUGCUGUGGUGAGUUAGAAGGAAUCCUGAACAUGGACAAAAAUGAACAAUUCUUUGAAAUCAAAGUCCGAGGUCCAAAAGAAUCUCGGACGGCAGUUUUCUACUUUCUCGAGGACUUUGUCACAGCUGUCGAACAAAUCAUUCAUGACAUCUGUCCCUAUUUUCAAAUAGAGCGACACAUACUUCACAGGGGACAGCUAGAAGAACAUGUAAAAGUGGUAUCCAGCUACUCUCCAAGACAGCUCAUUGAAUGCCAACUGAAUCAUACCCUUAGUGUCAAAUUGGACAAAAUGGAACCAGAAUGCAUUGCAGAGGUUAUUUUUCUCGGUUCCCCUGAUGUCAUGGAUAAUGUUACACUGGGGGUGGACUUGCAUAUUUCUAUGCUGACUAUCCAUGCGAGACGUAUUUUAAGUGCUAUGCUCGACCCAGCUGAACCAAUGGGGCGAGACUGGUGCCUGCUAGCUGUAACACUUGGGCUCACAAAAGUUCUCCCUUCACUGGAUUCCGGCAGCAAGAAGCAUGAAAGCAAAACGAAUCGAACACUAGAAGAAUGGUCAUCAGACCCUAAUGCCACUGUGACCAUAUUAGUGAAUAGACUGAAAGAGAUGGGUCGUGGGGACAUCGUUGAAGCUCUCUACCCCCAUUUUCUUCUUUACCAAGUUGGCUAUGAAGACAAUAGUGGGGAAGACAAUAGUGGUGGAAGUCGACAGGGCACUAAUGUAUCUACAAACACCCUGUCUAGUUUGUCUCGGUAGGGGCUGGAGGAGAAAUAAAAUGGACUGUCACAUAAUGGUGCUCACACUGGCAGCUCUCUCUCUCUCUCUCUCUCUAUCUUUCUUUGUCUCUCUCUCUCUCUCUCUCUGUAUAUCUAUAUCUAUCUGUCUGCCUAUCU
rnacentral:misc_RNA from 1 species